rnacentral:lncRNA from 1 species
UGAAUUUACAAUAAUGAUGACUAUGUGAUGGUGAAUAAGAUGUAUACUUAUCUUAAUGAUGGUGCAUUACCAGAUCAAGUAGCCUUUGAAAGAAUAUUUAGUCUAUCCCAAUCCCAAAAGAGUCAGAUUAUUUUGUUGGUUACUUGCUUUUAAUUGCCUUUUCAUGAACAAUAAAAGGAAUAAAAGACAUCUCACGUAGGAUG